rnacentral:rRNA from 1 species
GUGCACCAGGCGCGAAACUUUACAAUGUGCGAAAGCACGAUAAGGGAACUCUGAGUGCCUCCUAAGGAGGCUGUUCUGAUGUCUAAAAGCAACAGAAGUAAGGGCUGGGUAAGACCGGUGCCAGCCGCCGCGGUAACACCGGCAGCCCAAGUGGUAGCCACGUUUAUUGGGUCUAAAGCGUUCGUAGCCGGCCAGGUAAGUUCCUUGGUAAAUUUAGCCGCUUAACGGUUAAGCUUUCAGGGAAUACUGCUUGGCUUGGGACUGGGAGAGGUCAGAGGUACGUCCGGGGGUAGGGGUGAAAUCUAUUAAUCCCGUGGGGGACCACCGGUAGCGAAGGCGUCUGACCAGACCAGGUCCGACGGUGAGGGACGAAGGCUAGGGGCGCGAACCGGAUUAGAUACACGCGUAGU